UACGUAGGGUGCAAGCGUUAAUCGGAAUUACUGGGCGUAAAGCGUGCGCAGGCGGUUGUGUAAGACAGGUGUGAAAUCCCCGGGCUUAACCUGGGAAUUGCAUUUGUGACUGCACGGCUAGAGUGUGUCAGAGGGGGGUAGAAUUCCACGUGUAGCAGUGAAAUGCGUAGAUAUGCGGAGGAACACCGAUGGCGAAGGCAGCUCGCUGGGACGUUACUGACGCUGAGACGCGAAAGCGUGGGGAGCAAACAGG
rnacentral:rRNA from 1 species